AAUCCUAAUUAAAAACUUGAUGAAUUUUAACCAAAUCCUAUGUCGAAUUCUAAUGAAAUCUUAAAUUUUAGACUAAUUCUAAUGAAUUUUAGUGAAAUUAAUCAAAUCUUAGAUAAAUACUAAACAAAUCAUAAUCAAAUUCUAAUAAAAUCUUAAUCGAAUUUAAAUAAAAUCCUAAAUCCUAACCAAACCUAGAUAUAUUCUAAAUCCUAAUCAAAUCCUAAUCAAAUUAUAGAAC
rnacentral:lncRNA from 1 species